AGUGAACGCUGGCGGUAGGCCUAACACAUGCAAGUCGAACGGCAGCACAGUAAGAGCUUGCUCUUACGGGUGGCGAGUGGCGGACGGGUGAGGAAUACAUCGGAAUCUACUUUUUCGUGGGGGAUAACGUAGGGAAACUUACGCUAAUACCGCAUACGACCUACGGGUGAAAGCAGGGGAUCUUCGGACCUUGCGCGAUUGAAUGAGCCGAUGUCGGAUUAGCUAGUUGGCGGGGUAAAGGCCCACCAAGGUGACGAUCCGUAGCUGGUCUGAGAGGAUGAUCAGCCACACUGGAACUGAGACACGGUCCAGACUCCUACGGGAGGCAGCAGUGGGGAAUAUUGGACAAUGGGCGCAAGCCUGAUCCAGCCAUACCGCGUGGGUGAAGAAGGCCUUCGGAUUGUAAAGCCCUUUUGUUGGGAAAGAAAAGCAGCAGGUUAAUACCCCGCUGUUCUGACGGUACCCAAAGAAUAAGCACCGGCUAACUUCGUG
rnacentral:rRNA from 1 species